UGCCUUGCCUCGUCAGCGAUGGCUUGCCGGGCCUGGGCGGCAUGGACGCCGCCCAGAGGUUCGCCGCGACAGGACGUCGCGUCGAACCGGGCCCGACAGCAAGCCAACGCUGACGAGGGAAGCCC
rfam:Halothiobacillus sp. XI15 contig_10, whole genome shotgun sequence.